rnacentral:rRNA from 1 species
AUUGAACGCUGGCGGCAGGCCUAACACAUGCAAGUCGAACGAGUGGCGGACGGGUGAGUAAUGUCUGGGAAACUGCUUGAUGGAGGGGGAUAAGUAGUGGAAACGGUAGCUAAUACCGCAUACCAUCAGAUGUGCCCAGAUGGGAUUCGCUGGUUGGUGGGGUAAGGUCUCACCAAGGCGACGAUCCCUAGCUGGUCUGAGAGGAUGACCAGCCACACUGGAACUGAGACACGGUCCAGACUCCGACGGGAGGCAGCAGUGGGGAAUAUUGCACAAUGGGCGAAAGCCUGAUGCAGCCAUGCCGCGUGUAUGAAGAAGGCUUUCGGGUUGUAAAGUUCUUUCAGCUGGGAGGCGUUACCCGCACAAGAAGCACCGGCUAACUCCGUGCCAGCAGCCGCGGUAAUUC